AAAUUUAGAGACUGCUAAAACAAUCUUAUCCAGUUUUGAGCUUGCUCAUGUAGGUUAGCCUGCUUUAUUUAAUUUUGUGUGAGCUGCAGUACACAACAUUAAAAAGUUAAUAUAACAUUAGGUUGGUGGCCCGAGGAACUCCAACCUAAGUUUAAUAUUUAUUAUUUUAUAAGUGGGAAGGGGAGCAUGUUUUUUUUCCUUUAAUACAACGUCUUCCAGGGUCUUUUUCAUAGGAAAACCAUGUAACGUCUGUGUUAGGUUGGUCAAAAGAGCAAUUAGUUGAAUUAUUCUGGAAAAGAUGGGUUGUGUGUUUUUUUUUUCUUUUAUUUACUUAUGUAAAUAUAUUUUUCAAGGGUUAAAUAAAUGCAACAUUAAAUUAACAAUUGUCUCUCUGUCUUUUCCCGCCCAGUGUGGUGCAUUGCUGUCCUCCUGCCCUUGCUGGCCGCGCUGACAGUGUGAUGUAGCCUCAGUUCUUUGAGAGACAAGACAAAACAGCAGGGAAUAAUUUCAUGUCUGCAAGCCGCUGGAUGAUCAGUUUGGAGGGCAAGGUAUUGAGCCUGAGCAGAUGCAUGACUUUGGCAGCACCUUUGCUGUCUUCUUUGCGUCAUACUACGUUUUCAACCUUGAGUAUCAGGAGUCAGCGUCCAUCACACUGGAGAUGAUACAGAGGUUCUUUGUGAGGAUCAAUCCAGACAUGGGAACAAAAUGCCCUGCAAAACUUGGUACAAGCCGCAAGACAGGUCGUGUCGUAAAGAGGAAGGUUACAAGCAUCAGCCCUCGGAUCACCACCUUCCUCCAGCGGCUCUCUG